rnacentral:rRNA from 1 species
CCUACGGGUGGCUGCAGUGAGGAAUAUUGGUCAAUGGACGAGAGUCUGAACCAGCCAAGUAGCGUGAAGGAUGACUGCCCUAUGGGUUGUAAACUUCUUUUAUAAAGGAAUAAAACGAGGCACGUGUGCCUUUUUGCAUGUACUUUAUGAAUAAGGAUCGGCUAACUCCGUGCCAGCAGCCGCGGUAAUACGGAGGAUCCGAGCGUUAUCCGGAUUUAUUGGGUUUAAAGGGAGCGUAGAUGGGUUGUUAAGUCAGUUGUGAAAGUUUGCGGCUCAACCGUAAAAUUGCAAUUGAUACUGGCAGCCUUGAGUACAGUUGAGGUAGGCGGAAUUCGUGGUGUAGCGGUGAAAUGCUUAGAUAUCACGCAGAACCCCGAUUGCGAAGGCAGCUUACUAAACUGUGACUGACAUUGAUGCUCGAAAGUGUGGGGAUCAAACAGGAUUAGAUACCCUGGUAGUC